CCAUCACUGACUUCAGAGCUGAACACAGUGGGAAUUAUUACUGUGAAGCCCAGAACAGCAGAGGACGCCAUAACUCCACUUUACAUCUGACUGUUGCAGCAGGGAAUUUCACAACAAUAAUGAACAUCAUCAGGUUUUCUGUGGUGGUCUUGAUGCUGAUUCCUCUGGUUCUCCUGAGUCUGAUGAUGAUGAUGAGGAAGAAGAAAACCCAGAGCUCCACUGCUGAACCACAUGAUCCUGUAGAGAUAGAGUUAGACUCCUGUCAUGAGUACGAGAAUAUCUCAGACACCGCAGCACAGACAGAAGACUCAGAGGAGCAGGAAGACCUGGUGUGAAGUCCAG